CGGCUGCUUGGCACGCGUGGAAAUGGCGCGUCUGCGGCGGGGUCGCCAGGCUCGGAAGCCUGGACGGGGUCUGUCUCGCCUUGCGCUUCCCUGCAGCGGGAACCUCCCCAGGGGGCUACGGGUUGCAGCCCUGAAGGCUGCGGGCGCAGGGGGAGCUGGCGGCGGCCGUUAGCGGCGGCGGCCGUUAGCGGCGGCGGCCGUUAGGCGCGGGGCCCCGCGGCAGAGCCCGAGCUGGAGCCGGGAAUAGUGGGAGCAUCUACAGGAAAGAGAGAGGAAGAAGCCUUUUUCAGGAUGAGAGGAGACUUCUGAUAAUUGGAUCAGAUCUUGCUGAAGAAACUGAGAAAGGCAUCAGGCACUUUGAGGUCCAUUGAACCCCUUUCUUCUCUCAGAUGUUUAAUUUGCAGUCAACAUGUCGAACUUGAGUCUUUAGGUACUUCUUCAAAUACUCUUCUGAAAAAGAAGUGUCAGGCUUUGCUUUCAUUGUUUUGCCUAUGGCCUUUGGCAGCUGCUCUGCUGAUCCCACCCUCCUCCAGAUCGCAGUAACAAGAACCUGAUCGGACAUCUGUCAUCAAUCAUUAUGAGAAUAUGGCGCUUACUAUGCUCAAGUAGCAUUUGCUAUAUAAGUGCAGGCAGGCAGGUUGGAUUUUCAGGUAGUAUAGUAGAAGAUCUUGGAGAAAUAAAAAUAGGGGAUUAAUAUUUAUUCUCUUAAGUUUUUUUUCUUUUUAGCAUUUUUGUGUACUUUUAAUCUAAGGAUGUAGACUUGAUUCUGAUUUCAGCUAAUUUAGACAUUGAAUAUUCUUCCUCUUUUGUAUCAUAAGAUGUCAUGUUUCAUAGACCUUUGUAGGCACUUUACAAGAUGUCAGUUCUUACUUUUUGUGAAAUCAAAUGGUAUUUAAACUGCUCAUUUUAAUGAGGUAAUACUAGUACAGUAGAGACACUUUUCCCUAAAAUAACUUUAGAUGUUUGUUUAUAGAGUUUCUAGAGGAGCGGAAGUUGUUAGGCACGUUCAUACAUUUGUUUUCACAGUCAUAUUCAGACUGCUUAUAUUGCAGAUGGUAAAGAUGUUUCGCUCUGAGAUCAAAGAAGAGUGUAUCUGUAUUUGGCAAUAUGUUAAAAGCACAGAGAUCUUUCUCCCCCUCCCCCUUACACUGCAUCAAGUCAAUACUGUGCUUGAAGCUGGGAAAAGAAAGUGAAGUAUGUUCCUCUGCUCAGCACUAGCUGGAAUCCAGCUUCACUGGGCUCAGGAGGAUCUAGCACCAGUUGUGAACUCAGGGAAGAUCAAGGCAUAUUCUUGUGCUCAAGGCACUGUUUGCCCCAGUAGCAGAGUCUCCAGUCUCCUGCAUAGCUCAGAACUCAGUGGCAGCUGGGACUCAGGACCCUCAGCCAGGCCACAGAUACUGGUCCCAUUGAGCACCAUCAGAUGUUCUGACUUCUUUCCAAAAGUGUGUCUACACCCCUCAGUAAAAAACAAAAAUGCUAGCUAUGUAAAGAGAGAUAACGCAAGCUCCAUGAGAUUGGCAUGGUACACAAAGACAAACUAAAGAGUUAAUUCAGCUUGUAGAACUUAAUAGCUUGGAAGAGGUGCUGCUUCUAGCCUCAUCCUUAGCUUGCACCAGCCCAGCUGUCUUCACUGAUUUCCAUUUUGCUUCCAGUGCAAGGGUAAGUUUGCUGGGGAUCAGCUUAGAUGUCAGCAUGCCUUAAGCAGGAUUUACUUUUGUGAGAGCUUCAAGUUUGGAAGCAUUUGGGAAACAUUUAAGCUGGAAUUGCCAUGCCUUUGGGUUUUGUUGUGUAUUUGUUAUCAUAAAUUAUUCUAUAAUUUUAAUUGAUUUGGGGAAUUAAACAACUGGACAAG